UCGGGCAAUGAAAUGAAGAGCACAUACGAAAAGGAGAAGGAAGGAUGCAGGAAACGCAAAAGCGUCGAGGGAAGGAUGGAAACGGACAUGGCGUUAUCAGAAUUUCCGGCGUUUACUGAUAAUAACGCGAACCAACCUAAUAGCCACGGACUAAGCGAACGCGUCACUUGACGACGGAGAAAAAUAAGAGAAUUCGUCUCGAGUUACUCAGUGAAAAAAAAAGAGAAGAAAAGCAAAACGGAGAAGGAGAGAACGAAGAAAGGUCGGCGUACGCGAGCAGCACAUCCGGCAGAAAUGCGACUGGGAAGCAAUCGGAUAUUGUAUGUAGGUAAGCAAGAAGCUGCUGAUGCCAUCCGAGUCCUACGAACUCUCUCAAAGCACAUCACAUAUGUAUAUGGAUGGGUCGAGUUGCGUUCUCGCGCCUUCGUGACGCCACCUUGACCCACAAAUAGUGGACUAUUAAUCGUCAGUUUAUUACUGUUUAUUACUGCGAGAAAUUACAAGCCAAAAGGAAAUAGUAGGCGAUGAUGCCAUUUUCUAUGCAACGGCACUAUAUUAUAAUUAUAAUUUCAUUGUAUGUAUAA
rnacentral:misc_RNA from 1 species